GGAUUGUGGCUCAGAGGUAGAGCGCUCGUCUGGCAUGCAUGAGGCAAUGGGUUCAAUCCUCAGCACCA
rnacentral:tRNA from 1 species